rnacentral:lncRNA from 10 species
CUUGACUUAACCUGUCAGCAGAGGGCUUGAGGUUAGACCACAGGUUGAACCUAGGUGGCUGCUGGAGAGAUUCUAAAGUUCGCUGAGCAUUUUCAUGGGCACAACCUCAUCUGAUCAUUAUGGCAACACUGUGGGGCCUUGAAAUCAUGGCAGCAGCAAGACCCAACUGGGGCAGCAUCAUGUCUGGGUUUGAAUCCCGGUUCAGCCACUUUCCAGCUGUGUGAUGUGGGGCAAGUCAGAAACACUCUGUCUUCCUGCUUUGAGGACAGCUGAAGUCUUGCCACUUCUUCUGGAUGCUCUGACCAUCAGUAAGAGACACGGUCUGACUUUGUUACCCCGGCUGGAGUGCAGUGGUGCAAUCAUGGCUCACUGCAGCCUUAACCUCCUGGGCUCAAGUGAUCCUCUCGCCAAGGCUAGGAUAAGUAGCUAGGACUACAGAUGCGCCCCAUCACGCCCAGCUAAUUUUACAACUUCUGUAGAGAUGGAGUGUUGCUGGGUUGCCCAGGCUGGUCUUGAAUUCCUGGGCUCAAGCGAUCCUCCUGUGUCCGGAAUUGGUGGGUUCUUGGUCUCACUGACUUCAAGAAUGAAGCCGCGGACCCUCGCGAGUCUGUAUCCACCAGCUACUCUUCCAGAUUCAUGAGGCAAGGCCUGCCUGCUCACCUGGCUGGCCCCAAGCACCUCUUCAACCUGUUGCCACCGUCCUGCCUUGCUGCCCUUCUCAGCUCAUCCAGCAGGGUCUCCAAGUCGUGGAAACAGAAGCACAUAUACACACAUGCUCAUAUGUACAUGCCCACAGUCACAUAAGCACACCGAGAAACACCAUCGCAGACAUGUUCUCACAAGCACAUGUGCAUAACACUCACUACCCCUCACGCGUAUACACAUUAAUACACACACUCAUGCACACUCAGUCUUACACACACAGACACACAGCCAUAAUCACUGUUGUUGGUUGAAUUGUGCCCCCCCAUCCCCACCAAAAAGAUAAGUUGGAGUCCUAACCCCCAGUACCUGGGGAUGUGACCGUAGUUGGAAAUAGGGUGUUUGUAGAUGUAAUCAAAUUAAGAUGAGAUCUUACUGGAUUAGAGUGGGCCUUAAAUCCAGUGACUGGUGUCCUUAUAAGGAGAAAAAGAUUUGAAAACAGAGACAUGGAGACACAGAGCAGAAGGCCAUGUGAUGAUGGAGUCAGAGAUUGGAGUGAUGCAGCUAUGAGCCGAGAAAUACCAAGGUGCUGGCAGCCCCCAGAAGCAAGGAGAGAGGCAAGGAACAAUCUCCAUCAGAGCCUCUGGAAGAAACAGACUCUGCCAACACCUUGAUUUCAGACUUUUGGCCUCCUUCACUGUGCGAGAAUACGUUUCUGUUGUUUUAAACUACUGAGUCACCAAGUCUGUGGUACUGUGUUAUGGCAGCCCCGGCAACAAAUCCAAUCACACACACACACACACACACACACACACACACACACACACACACACACACAGCUGGCUCCAGGCUCAGUGAUGAGCUCAGAGGAGUUCCCCUUGGGAGCUGCUCUUUCUCUGUCUUCCUUCCUUAGUGAUUGGUCCAGUGGAUCCACAAAAGCUCAUGGCCCAGAGCAGGAGCCCAGUCAUUUUUAAUUCCUCUUCCCUGGAGUUCUUAACCAUGCGUUGCCCUCAAAAUCUGCUCUCAAGAUUUGGGUUGCCAUAUUUAGGAGCACCAGAAAACAUACAGGAAUGCUGUGUCUGCUUGCAUCAUAUUAAUUAAAAACUGGAAAUAACCUAAAUGUCCCAGAAUAGGUACAUAAACUGUGGCAUAUCCACUUAAUGGAAUACUACUCAGCAAUACAAAAGGAAAACCUAGUGUUACUUGAGCAACAUGGAUGAACUUCACAGACAUAAUAUUGCACAGCACGAGGCAGACACAAAAGUGUGCAUAUGCUAUGAUUCCAUUUACAUGAGAUUCAAGAACAGGCAAAGCAGAUCUAUGGGGAUAGAAGUCAGAAUAGUGGUUACCUCUGGAAGGUGGAAUUGACUGGGAGGGGCUUCAGGGAACCUCCUGGGGUGCUGAAAACAUUCUGUGCUUGCACCGGGUGGUGGUUAUGUGGGCAUUACAUAAAAUUCACCAAGCUGCACCCUUAAUGAUUUGUACAAUUUGAUGCACAAAUCUAACAUCUCAAGAAGAAUAAAUUUUACAAAGUACCUAAGAAGCAAAUGACCAGAA